UCCAUCACUUUCAAAACGAGCUGUUGUGAUCACCUCCUAUGUCUGGGGUUUAAGCACUGAAAGCAAUGAAAUUAGCUGAAGAGAUUUUCCCAAGCACAGAAUCCUUAGACACCACACCAGACUUCUUGAGCCAGAAUCUCCAGCGGUGGAAUCCCAACAAAGUCGAGGAUGUAAGCGCGCAGUUUCCUGCUCCUGCCACAAGCCUGCUUCUCAUCAUGGUGGACUCUCAGGCUCUAGAACCAUAAGCCAAAAUAAAUCCUUCCAUAAGUGGCUUCUGGUCAACGCGUUUUAUCACAGCAAAAAAACAAUACCGAUGGUAAGUAUAUGACGUGAAGAUACAGAGAAUGCCAGCACGGACUCACGCAAGUGGUUUGAGUAAUUUCUAUAGAGUGUAAAGCUUUUCAAAAUGGGGUUUGAUGCUCUCUAGUCUGUUUAUAGAGCCCAUCAGUGUCAGGGAGGUGUGCCGUGUUGGGUCUGACGCUCUGUCACCUUUAACACUUGUGAACCUCAGAAACACUCAGCUGAAAUCACAUGACUGUGUGACAUCAAGAGAAGACUCACUAGGGAUGGAUCAAAAACAAGCGGGUAUGCUAGGGAUGGAAAGUGUGUGUGUGUGUGUGUGUGUGUGUGUGUGUGUGUGUGCGAUUACUGUUGUUGCUGCUCUUCUGUUGUUCUCCAUUUUUAUACAAUAUGCUUGCCUUAAACAAACCCUGCGAAAGAACAAUCCCAACCACAUCUAUCUACACAUUAUAAGACAGUGUUCACCACCACCUCUAUCUAUACAUUGUAAAAAAAUGUUUGCCAUAAACCCCUUAAUACACUAAAAGACUUAAAGGCCUGGCCUCCUGGCAAUUAAAAGAAGUAAAUAAACUUGGGAACAGGUAGAAGAGGUUCACAGACAAGACAGUGGGUAUCUCAAGGCCUCAGAAUGCCAAAACCAAAUGGCCAAAUUGUGUUAACUUUAGAAUGAUAAAGCAAAGA